UACCACCCCGUGCUGCAGUCGCACGUUGUUUGGAUUCACGUCUUUCCCUGCUGCCUUUGGUGUGUGCCCCCAUUGUGAUGGGCCCUUGUGUUUUCCUUUGUCGUUGCCCUCUGCCUUCCGCCUCACCGUUCUCUCUUUAGAAGUUCUCCAUACCGAUAAGCCCUCCCCCCUCCGUCCCUCUCCCUCUCCCUCUCUCUGUGUCUGUGUGUGUGUGUCUGUGUGUCUAGGCAAUGAUGUCGGCGUCCACCACGGAGCUGUUCACCAACCAGGGUACCCUCUAUCAGUACGCCGGAGAGGAGGGCGAGCACCCUUACUACAAACCCCUCGGCGACGUGGACUGCUUCACCAUCUCCCUGCUGAAGCACAAGAAGACGGCAGGUGCUGCCAGCAGUAACAACAGCAGUGUGGAGUACCUCAUCGCCGUGGCCGAGGACGGGGAGAAGGUCUUUGAGCAACCCAUCGGCGUGGACCUUCAGCUCUCUUACUCCGCCCCAACCGCGUCCGUGCACUGGCCAGCGAUCAUCGAUGAAGAGCUUGAGACCGUUGCCUUUCGCUUCACCGCUCCGGCGGCGCAUGUCGCGCAGGUGACGGCACAGUUGCGCAUGCAACAGUUUGUGGAGCUGUACAACCGCUGUACCUACAGCCUCCUCACCGGCUACGACGAGGUGGAUCCGGAGGACGAGUGGUACAAGUACCUCGGCGCCGCCACCACGCGCGAGGUCUGUAACGAAGAUGCCACGGAGCCCGUGUUCGAGUUCGACCCAAGCCAGUUGACGAAGGCGAGCACCGGUGCCGGCAAUAUUUGCGCCGCGGAGUCGCUACAGUUUAACCGCGUCCUCGUUGUCAAGAAGAGUAACGAGGAGGCCAGUCUGGAGUUGCAGGCGCUGCCGCAGACGGAGCGAGGCUUUGACCGGGCUGCCAUGGAGAAGCUCGUCGUGCACGGCGUCGACGGCACCUCCACAGGAACUCUCCUGGAGAACGGCGACGUCACCAUGCUGCUCUUUGGCGGCUGCAGCGCGGCGGUUCAGCAAUUAGACCUCGCGCGCGGCACUGUGGUGCAGGAGUACAAGCCAGCGGAUCUGCCCGUGCAGAGUGUGGCCUAUGCAAACCACACAGCGGCGAACUCUGGCUCCGUCUACACGUGCCUCGGCCGCAAUGUUGCCUUCAACAUCGACGUCCGCAUGGACCCCCGCAGCUGUGUCGUCAUGGAGGAUGGGAAACAGCCGACAGACUACGCCUUGCCGUCGCUCCGGAAGGACUUCACCUGCCACGCUACCUCGCAGAAUGGCUACCUCGUCAUCGGCGAUGGCUCCGGGAACAUCCGACUCUACACCGGCCCGCCCGGCGCGCGCAAGCCAGCCGGCGGGUACUUCCCGAAAACUGCCAAGACGCUGCUGGACACGAAGGUCCCGAUCGUUGACAUCGACGUCACAGCCGACGGUCAGUAUAUCGUCGCGACCUCCACCUCGUUUCUGCUGUUCAUCGAGACCAAGUACGUGGACAGCAACGACAAAGAGUCGACAGGGUUUCAGACUCGGAUGGGAGCGAGAAAGCCGCAGCCCAUCAUCCUCCAGCCGUCCCCGGAGCAAACACUGCGUAUGGGUGGGGCAAGCAUGGUGCACUUCCAAAGCGCGAAGUUCGACCGCUUUCCUGGCACCAAGGAGCUGUGCGUGACCGCCAGCUGCGGGGACUACCUUCUGACGUGGUCGCUGCGUGCGAUUGAGUCGUCGCAGCAGAGCGGCCGCGCCGUGGUAAACUCCGCCGUGGCGGUAGGGCAGACCGUGUUGUCGACCUCUGCAAACCGUGCGUCGCACGUCGGCUUCCUUACCAGCAACGACGUCGGGGUCGUACCCGUGCAUGAAGCAAAGAAGGAGGUGAGUCGGACGUGGACAUGGGGGACCGAGUAGGGUUGGCGGCGAUUGCUGCGCUUGCACCUCUGUGCAUCUGGCUGGCAAAGCUCGGCUUCCCCUCCCCGCAGCGCUGCCGGAACCCCCCCCCUCCUGCCGACCCGCAUCGAUUUCCCUUCAUACAAGCGCACACAAAUGCGACCACGCACGUGUUGUCGGGAAG
rnacentral:misc_RNA from 1 species